AGGCCCGUAGCUCAACUGGCAGAGCGCCGGACUCCAAAUCCGAAGGUUGGGGGUUCAACUCCUCCCGGGCCUGCCA
rnacentral:tRNA from 1 species